GCAUUUCAAGUUGAGUUAAGGGCAGAACUGUUAAGUUAUUAUUAAAAAAAAUAUGCACUUAUAAGGCAAUAAAUUAAAAGCACGAAAGCAAGUGUUUAAAAUGACAGACGUGUGGCAGUUGGUAUUGCCUGAAAGUCAAAAAAUUUAAAUUGAAAUAAUUCUUGCGUUUGUAUAAAAAAUCAUCAAAAAAUCUACAUACAAAAGCUGUGAAAUAAAUUACAAAAGGCUCAAUUGCUAAGAGCCAAAAACAGCCGCCUGGCACGUCAAACGUUGAAUGAACCCAACUACAGUGCCAAAUAUGGCAUAUCUUACCAACUAAAGUGAGUAAAGUGUGUGGUGUGUGUGUGCGACUACAAUUCGCCAAUAUUAAAUGAGUAGUCCCAAAUUAUAAGUAAACAUAAAAGCGCAAUAACAAAUGCAAUAACAACAGCGACAACAACAUAGCAGGCAAUAACGAUCAAUCAAAUCAACGGCAUACGCCUCGUCAUCGGCGGCAUUACGCUCGAAGUCUCCAGUGCCUCCAAUUGCAGAAGUCUUUAAAAUUCAAAAUACGCAGGAGCAAGCCAAAAACUAAAAACAAUAGCAACACAAAGCUGUUAACAAAAAAAGACGCCAAAACAAUACGCGCUCUCGGGUCAUCAAAUUACCAAAACGGAAACACAUACAAAAUAAUUGAAAAAACGAAAAAAAACAUAGUUAUGGAGAUUAGAAGCAGCACCAGAAGUGUGUUUACCCACUGAACGCCGAACGCUGGUGGUUUGCUAAGCAACCAAUAAGUUUCAGCGGUUACCACUUGUCUGCCUAUGGAGCGUACUUAUGUA